AGAGUUUGAUCCUGGCUCAGAGCGAACGCUGGCGGCAGGCUUAACACAUGCAAGUCGAGCGGGCAUAGCAAUAUGUCAGCGGCAGACGGGUGAGUAACGCGUGGGAACAUACCUUUUGGUUCGGAACAACACAGGGAAACUUGUGCUAAUACCGGAUAAGCCCUUACGGGGAAAGAUUUAUCGCCGAAAGAUUGGCCCGCGUCUGAUUAGCUAGUUGGUGAGGUAACGGCUCACCAAGGCGACGAUCAGUAGCUGGUCUGAGAGGAUGAUCAGCCACAUUGGGACUGAGACACGGCCCAAACUCCUACGGGAGGCAGCAGUGGGGAAUAUUGGACAAUGGGCGCAAGCCUGAUCCAGCCAUGCCGCGUGAGUGAUGAAGGCCCUAGGGUUGUAAAGCUCUUUUGUGCGGGAAGAUAAUGACGGUACCGCAAGAAUAAGCCCCGGCUAACUUCGUGCCAGCAGCCGCGGUAAUACGAAGGGGGCUAGCGUUGCUCGGAAUCACUGGGUGUAAAGGGUGCGUAGGCGGGUCUUUAAGUCAGGGGUGAAAUCCUGGAGCUCAACUCCAGAACUGCCUUUGAUACUGAGGAUCUUGAGUUCGGGAGAGGUGAGUGGAACUGCGAGUGUAGAGGUGAAAUUCGUAGAUAUUCGCAAGAACACCAGUGGCGAAGGCGGCUCACUGGCCCGAUACUGACGCUGAGGCACGAAAGCGUGGGGAGCAAACAGGGUUAGAUACCCUGGUAGUCCACGCCGUAAACGAUGAAUGCCAGCCGUUAGUGGGUUUACUCACUAGUGGCGCAGCUAACGCUUUAAGCAUUCCGCCUGGGGAGUACGGUCGCAAGAUUAAAACUCAAAGGAAUUGACGGGGGCCCGCACAAGCGGUGGAGCAUGUGGUUUAAUUCGACGCAACGCGCAGAACCUUACCAGCCCUUGACAUCCCGGUCGCGGAUUCCAGAGACGGAGUCCUUCAGUUCGGCUGGACCGGAGACAGGUGCUGCAUGGCUGUCGUCAGCUCGUGUCGUGAGAUGUUGGGUUAAGUCCCGCAACGAGCGCAACCCCCGUCCUUAGUUGCUACCAUUUAGUUGAGCACUCUAAGGAGACUGCCGGUGAUAAGCCGCGAGGAAGGUGGGGAUGACGUCAAGUCCUCAUGGCCCUUACGGGCUGGGCUACACACGUGCCACAAUGGCGGUGACAAUGGGACGCUAAGGGGCAACCCUUCGCAAAUCUCAAAAAGCCGUCUCAGUUCGGAUUGGGCUCUGCAACUCGAGCCCAUGAAGUUGGAAUCGCUAGUAAUCGUGGAUCAGCAUGCCACGGUGAAUACGUUCCCGGGCCUUGUACACACCGCCCGUCACACCAUGGGAGUUGGUUUUACCUGAAGACGGUGCGCUAACCCGCAAGGGAGGCAGCCGGCCACGGUAGGGUCAGCGACUGGGGUGAAGUCGUAACAAGGUA
rnacentral:rRNA from 1 species